rnacentral:rRNA from 1 species
GAUGAACGCUGGCGGCGUGCCUAAUACAUGCAAGUCGAGCGAACAGAUCAGGAGCUUGCUCCUUUGACGUUAGCGGCGGACGGGUGAGUAACACGUGGGUAACCUACCUAUAAGACUGGGAUAACUUCGGGAAACCGGAGCUAAUACCGGAUAAUAUUUCGAACCGCAUGGUUCGAUAGUGAAAGAUGGUUUUGCUAUCACUUAUAGAUGGACCCGCGCCGUAUUAGCUAGUUGGUAAGGUAACGGCUUACCAAGGCGACGAUACGUAGCCGACCUGAGAGGGUGAUCGGCCACACUGGAACUGAGACACGGUCCAGACUCCUACGGGAGGCAGCAGUAGGGAAUCUUCCGCAAUGGGCGAAAGCCUGACGGAGCAACGCCGCGUGAGUGAUGAAGGUCUUCGGAUCGUAAAACUCUGUUAUUAGGGAAGAACAUACGUGUAAGUAACUGUGCACGUCUUGACGGUACCUAAUCAGAAAGCCACGGCUAACUACGUG